rnacentral:rRNA from 1 species
GACGGUACCGGAAGAAGAAGCACCGGCUAACUACGUGCCAGCAGCCGCGGUAAUACGUAGGGUGCGAGCGUUAAUCGGAAUUACUGGGCGUAAAGCGUGCGCAGGCGGUUUUGUAAGCCAGACGUGAAAUCCCCGGGCUUAACCUGGGAACUGCGUUUGGAACUGCAAGACUAGAGUGUGUCAGAGGGAGGUGGAAUUCCACGUGUAGCAGUGAAAUGCGUAGAUAUGUGGAGGAACACCGAUGGCGAAGGCAGCCUCCUGGGAUAACACUGACGCUCAUGCACGAAAGCGUGGGGAGCAAACAGGAUUAGAUACCCUGGUAGUCCACGCCCUAAACGAUGUCAACUGGUUGUUGGGAGAGAAAUCUUUCAGUAACGAAGCUAACGCGUGAAGUUGACCGCCUGGGGAGUACGGCCGCAAGGUUGAAACUC